GUAGGGAAUCUUCNNGUCAAUGGGGGCAACCCUGACCGAGCAACGCCGCGUGAGUGAAGAAGGUUUUCGGAUCGUAAAGCUCUGUUGUAAGUCAAGAACGAGUGUGAGAGUGGAAAGUUCACACUGUGGCGGUAGCUUACCAGAAAGGGACGGCUAACUACGUGCCAGCAGCCGCGGUAAUACGUAGGUCCCGAGCGUUGUCCGGAUUUAUUGGGCGUAAAGCGAGCGCAGGCGGUUUGAUAAGUCUGAAGUUAAAGGCUGUGGCUCAACCAUAGUUCGCUUUGGAAACUGUCAAACUUGAGUGCAGAAGGGGAGAGUGGAAUUCCAUGUGUAGCGGUGAAAUGCGUAGAUAUAUGGAGGAACACCGGUGGCGAAAGCGGCUCUCUGGUCUGUAACUGACGCUGAGGCUCGAAAGCGUGGGGAGCGAACAGGAUUAGAUACCCUGGUAGUCCACGCCGUAAACGAUGAGUGCUAGGUGUUGGAUCCUUUCCGGGAUUCAGUGCCGCAGCUAACGCAUUAAGCACUCCGCCUGGGGAGUACGACCGCAAGGUUG
rnacentral:rRNA from 1 species